UACGUAGGGUGCAAGCGUUGUCCGGAAUCAUUGGGCGUAAAGCGCGUGUAGGCGGCCCGGUAAGUCCGCUGUGAAAGUCGGGGGCUCAACCCUCGAAAGCCGGUGGAUACUGUCGGGCUCGAGUGCGGAAGAGGCGAGUGGAAUUCCUGGUGUAGCGGUGAAAUGCGCAGAUAUCAGGAGGAACACCGGUGGCGAAGGCGGGUCUCUGGGCCGAUACUGACGCUGAGGAGCGAAAGCGUGGGGAGCGAACAGG
rnacentral:rRNA from 1 species